rnacentral:tRNA from 1 species
GGAGUCUAUUGGUGGAUACGUCACUUGACUACGAAUCAGAAGGUCGCAGGUUCGAGUCCUGCCGAGC